rnacentral:rRNA from 1 species
GACGAACCGUGCGAACGUUGUUCGGAAUCACUGGGCUUAAAGGGCGCGUAGGCGGAGGGUCCAGUCGGUGGUGAAAUCCUUCAGCUUAACUGGAGACGUGCCGCCGAUACUGACUCUCUCGAGGGAGGUAGGGGCAUGUGGAACUCAGGGUGGAGCGGUGAAAUGCGUAGAUAUCCUGAGGAACGCCGGUGGCGAAAGCGACGUGCUGGACCUCUUCUGACGCUGAGGCGCGAAAGCCAGGGGAGCAAACGGG